CACGCCCUAAACGAUGGAUGCUAGAUGUGGGGAGUAUCGACCCUCCCCGUGUCGGUUAAAAUAGCUAACGCAAUAAGCAUCCCGCCUGGGAAGUACGGCCGCAAGGCUAAAACUCAAAGGAAUAGACGGGGACCCGCACAAGCGGAGGAGCAUGUGGUUUAAUUCGACGGUAACCGAGUAACCUCACCCAGGUUUGAAAUGUACCUGCAAGCCCUUGGAAACAGGGGCCGCCUUCGAGGGUGGUACACAGGUGC
rnacentral:rRNA from 1 species